rnacentral:rRNA from 1 species
AUGGACACCAGCAGGAUGCUGUCUGAAUCGCACCGCGACGGCGCGAACCCACGGCGAAGUGCAGCCAUUCCCAUUUCGCGCUUCGGGAAGGCCGUCCUCCUCUGCUCGGCCCUGUUCGCCGCAUGGCACCUCUGCUCGGCCCUGUUCGCCGCGGCGCCUCCUGGUCCUGGAGCCGACCAUGCGGAAGGCAGCCACGCGUCGUGCCUGCCUCUCGCCAGGGAGGUCGGCGUUCGUGCGGCAGCCGGCACGGGGAGCAACUUGGUCUUCUCGCCGCUGUCCAUCCACGCGGCGCUCGCCAUGGUGGCCACCGGCGCGCGGGGCGACACGCGUAGGGAGCUCCUGCGGUUCCUCGGGGCAGCGUCGCUCCACGAGCUGCACCACGCGCCGGCGAACGAGCUCGUUGGCAGGCUCAACGGCCUAGCGCAAACGUCCUUCGCCUGCGGCGUGUGGGUCGACCGGAGGCUGACGCUCAGGCCGGAGUUCACGGCCACCGGCGCGUCGCGGUACGCCGCCACUGCGGAAUCCGUGGACUUCGUGUCGGGGGCCGAGCAGGCGAGGCUGCGCGUGAACGCCUACGUGGCGGACGCGACGAAACAACUCAUACGCGACAUCCUCCCUCCCGGCUCCGUCGACUCGUCCACGGCGGUCGUGCUCGCCAACGCGCUCUACUUCAAAGGAGCGUGGUCUCACCCGUUCGACCUCUUCACCGCGCCGUUCCACGUCCCAGGCGGCACCACCGUGGGCGCGCCGUCCAUGACGACAGGCCGGUCACAGUACAUCGCGCUCUACCCGGGCUUCAGGGCCCUCAAGCUUCCCUACAAGAACGACGUGUCGCGUCAAGCUGAUGCAUUCUACAUGCUUAUUCUUCUCCCGGACAGCGGCACUCUCAGUCUCGCCGAUCUCUACAACAAGGCACACGCCGGUGGAGGAGGUUCCAGUCGGGCGGUUCAUGGUGCCCAAGUUUAA